UACGUAGGGUGCAAGCGUUGUCCGGAAUUAUUGGGCGUAAAGAGCUCGUAGGCGGUCUGUCGCGUCGGCUGUGAAAUCCCGAGGCUCAACCUCGGGUCUGCAGUCGAUACGGGCAAACUUGAGUGUUGCAGGGGAGACUGGAAUUCCUGGUGUAGCGGUGAAAUGCGCAGAUAUCAGGAGGAACACCGGUGGCGAAGGCGGGUCUCUGGGCAGUAACUGACGCUGAGGAGCGAAAGCGUGGGGAGCGAACAGG
rnacentral:rRNA from 1 species